GAUGAAGAACGUAGCGAAAUGCGAUAAGUAAUGUGAAUUGCAGAAUUCAGUGAAUCAUCGAAUCUUUGAACGCACAUUGCGCCCCCCAGUAUUCUGGCGGGCAUGCCUGUUCGAGCGUCAUUUCAACCAUCAAGCCCUGCUUGUGUUGCGGUCCUGCGGCUGCCCGCAGGCCCUGAAAACCAGUGGCGGGCUCGCUAGUCACACCGAGCGCAGUAGCACAUCUCGCUCAGGGCGUGCGGCGGGCUCCAGCCGUUAAAGCACCCACCUUUCGCAAGGUUGACCUCGGAUCAGGUAGGAAUACCCGCUGAACUUAAGCAUAUCAAUAAGCGGAGGA
rnacentral:misc_RNA from 1 species